UGGGGAAUAUUGCACAAUGGGCGAAAGCCUGAUGCAGCGACGCCGCGUGCGGGAUGAAGGCCUUCGGGUUGUAAACCGCUUUUAAUUGGGGGCAAGCGAGAGUGAGUGUACCUUUUGAAUAAACGCACCGGCUAACUACGUGCCAGCAGCCGCGGUAAUACGUAGGGUGCAAGCGUUAUCCGGAAUUAUUGGGCGUAAAGAGCUCGUAGGCGGUUUGUCACGCCUGGUGUGAAAGUCCAUCGCUUAACGGUGGAUCUGCGCCGGGUACGGGCAGGCUAGAGUGCAGUAGGGGAGAUUGGAAUUCCCGGUGUAACGGUGGAAUGUGUAGAUAUCGGGAAGAACACCAAUGGCGAAGGCAGAUCUCUGGGCUGUUACUGACGCUGAGGAGC
rnacentral:rRNA from 1 species